rnacentral:rRNA from 1 species
UACACUCCUGCGGGAGGCAGCAGUGGGGAAUAUUGGACAAUGGGCGCAAGCCUGAUCCAGCCAUGCCGCGUGAGUGAUGAAGGCCCUAGGGUUGUAAAGCUCUUUCACCGGUGAAGAUAAUGACGGUAACCGGAGAAGAAGCCCCGGCUAACUUCGUGCCAGCAGCCGCGGUAAUACGAAGGGGGCUAGCGUUGUUCGGAUUUACUGGGCGUAAAGCGCACGUAGGCGGACUAUUAAGUCAGGGGUGAAAUCCCGGGGCUCAACCCCGGAACUGCCUUUGAUACUGGUAGUCUUGAGUUCGAGAGAGGUGAGUGGAAUUCCGAGUGUAGAGGUGAAAUUCGUAGAUAUUCGGAGGAACACCAGUGGCGAAGGCGGCUCACUGGCUCGAUACUGACGCUGAGGUGCGAAAGCGUGGGGAGCAAACAGGAUUAGAUACCCUUGUAGUCCCA